GUCACCUUUACCUCAUUAGCUUCCCAGCAGAAAAGAGAGGAUGCUCGCAUCUGAACCCCCACAGGUCCAUUGAGUGGCUUCAGCUCCUGGCCUGGCCUCUGAAUGGUAAUGUGGACUCGGGGCUGACCAACAUGAGCACUUCCUGCCUGCCACCAUCUCAGCCUUCCCCACUUUUACCCAUCAUCUGGAAAUAAGAAGCUAGUGUCUUCGACCGUCUCACACCCUUGGGACUUAGUUCAAAGACAGGAUCCCGGAGAGAAAUAGGUGGGGUGUCUAAUGUUGGCUACAGACAUUGAGAUGGCUCCCCUAUGUCUCCCACUCACCCUGGAGCUCACUGAUUGGCUAGAUCGUGCAAGCCCCAAGGAUGGAUCCCUUUGAUUCUAUCCCCACCCUCACCCCAACUGGGGUUCCAGACGCACACCUCUGUACCAUGUUUUAUGUAAAUCCUGGGGAUCCUAACUCGGGCCCUCCUGCUUGGUACAACGUGCACUUUACAUCUGAGCCAUCCCCCCAAUCUUUUGUUUCCUUUCCUUUAAGUGAGAGUCUCAAGUGAGCAACUCUGCUGUUUGAUGGACAGCUAUCUGACCCCUCCCCAUCCCCAGUCUCCAGUUCCACAGCAGCUGCUUGCUUGGGAAUAAAAGCUACAGUGGAGACCUG